rnacentral:rRNA from 1 species
GAUGAACGCUGGCGGCGUGCUUAACACAUGCAAGUCGAACGGUGAAGGAGGGAGCUUUCUCCUUCUGGAUCAGUGGCGAACGGGCGAGUAACACGUGAGUAACCUGCCCCAGACUCUGGGAUAAGCGCUGGAAACGGCGUCUAAUACCGGAUACGAGCUUCAGCCGCAUGGCUAGGAGCUGGAAAGAAUUUCGGUCUGGGAUGGACUCGCGGCCUAUCAGCUUGUUGGGGAGGUAACGGCUCACCAAGGCGUCGACGGGUAGCCGGCCUGAGAGGGUGACCGGCCACACUGGGGCUGAGACACGGCCCAGACGCCUACGGGAGGCAGCAGUGGGGAAUAUUGCACAAUGGGCGGAAGCCUGAUGCAGCAACGCCGCGUGAGGGAUGACGGCCUUCGGGUUGUAAACCUCUUUUAGCAGGGAAGAAGCGAAAGUGACGGUACCUGCAGAAAAAGCGCCGGCUAACUACGUGCCAGCAGCCGCCGUAAUAC